UUUUUUAAUUAUCAAAAACAAACAUUAAAAUCUAGUGGCAGCCAUUGUAAAUAAGUCAUAACUACAAGAUUUAUUUCACAAAAUAGCUGCAAAAAUGUAUAUAUAGAUUAAGUGUCUUUCGUAUAUUCAAAAAUUAGGAGUUUCAGUUUAGAAACUCUCGGUUUACACUCAGAAAAUCAUUCAAACCU
rnacentral:sRNA from 1 species